GGUAGGGAAUGCCGGCCUUCGGGUUGUAACCUUCUUUCAGCAGGGAAAAAGCGGGAGUGGCGGUACCUGCAGAAAAAGCACCGGCUAACUACGUGCCAGCAGCCGCGGUAAUACGUAGGGUGCGGAGCGUUGUCCGGAAUUAUUGGGCGUAAAGAGCUCGUAGGCGGCUUGUCGCGUCGGAUGUGAAAGCCCGGGGCUUAACCCCGGGUCUGCAUUCGAUACGGGCAGGCUAGAGUUCGGUAGGGGAGAUCGGAAUUCCUGGUGUAGCGGUGAAAUGCGCAGAUAUCAGGAGGAACACCGGUGGCGAAGGCGGAUCUCUGGGCCGAUACUGACGCUGAGGAGCGAAAGCGUGGGGAGCGAACAGGAUUAGAUACCCUGGUAGUCCACGCCGUAAACGUUGGGCACUAGGUGUGGGCGGCAUUCCACGUCGUCCGUGCCGCAGCUAACGCAUUAAGUGCCCCGCCUGGGGAGUACGGCCGCAAGGCCUAAAACUCAAAGGAAUUGACGGGGGCCCGCACAAGCGGCGGAGCAUGUGGCUUAAUUCGACGCAACGCGAAGAACCUUACCAAGGCUUGACAUACACCGGAAACGGCCAGAGAUGGUCGCCCCCUUGUGGUCGGUGUACAGGUGGUGCAUGGCUGUCGUCAGCUCGUGUCGUGAGAUGUUGGGUUAAGUCCCGCAACGAGCGCAACCCUUGUUCUGUGUUGCCAGCGUGCCUUUCGGGGUGACGGGGACUCACAGGAGACUGCCGGGGUCAACUCGGAGGAAGGUGGGGACGACGUCAAGUCAUCAUGCCCCUUAUGUCUUGGGCUGCACACGUGCUACAAUGGCCGGUACAAUGAGCUGCGAUGCCGUGAGGUGGAGCGAAUCUCAAAAAGCCGGUCUCAGUUCGGAUUGGGGUCUGCAACUCGACCCCAUGAAGUCGGAGUCGCUAGUAAUCGCAGAUCAGCACUGCUGCGGUGAAUACGUUCCCGGGCCUUGUACACACCGCCCGUCACGUCACGAAAGUCGGUAACACCCGAAGCCGGUGGCCCAACCCCCUUGUGGGGAGGGAAUGCGUCGAAGGUUUGGGACUGGCGAUCCUGGACGAAGUCGUAACAAGCGC
rnacentral:rRNA from 1 species